UGGAAUAUGUUUUGAGUUAAACAGGCGUAUGCGUAUCAUAUCAUCCAAAUAGUGUCAUUUUGUAAAACUUCAAUAUCUUUUCUUUUAUAGAGUGGAUCUGAGCUCCAUAUUUUUGUCGUAAUCUAAAUAUUUUUUUAAUGUAUAAAUAAACAAUUAUUAAGAUCUCUAGAACCACAAAGCUCAAUUCAUGUGUGUGAUAUGACUAUUAUAAAAUCAUCAUGGUACGACAUGAGAUCAAUGUUUUAACAUACCUGGAGGAAAAUCUGGAGAAAAAUUCAAAAAUCUUUUUAUACAGGAUUAAUUCUACUAAAUUGUCAAGAUGUUUUGUAAAUGACUCCAUACAUCUGAUUUUCGACGGCAUUGUUGUCCAGGUGAGCGAUGUGGUCCCUGGACCUCUUGGUUUUUGUCUUAUUUACAAUAGAGGAUCUAUACGUGUACAUUGCCUUGUUGCAAUAUUAAUCUUAAAUUUUUAAGAACUUUUUUCAGUUUUCAACCUUUUAUGUAUUUAUUUUGUAAAAUUUUACACAGCGACUGGAAAAAUAAUAUUUUUUCUUAUGUUAUGUCGAGUAUUACAGAACAGUAUUACAGUUUUACUUUUUUCAGCCGGGAACUACAGGCUUGCAGCCAAUUUUAUUUAUUUUGAGGAAUGGCAGCUUUCGUGUUAAUUUAAUGUUCGUCUAUAAAAUAUAUAUAUAUAUAGAGAGAGAGAGAGUAUAAAAAUGGCUAACGACACGAACAAUAGAACUUGUCAAAUUUUCGGAACAACCAGUCCCUUCUUCAUGACCAAAAAAAAUAAAUUACAGGAGUAAAAAUCAUAGAAAACAAAAUCUAAAGCUACUACUAAAUUAAAGACUUUAGAGCGAUCGGCGGCAGUAUCAACACCUUCUUUACGAACGUGAACGAAAGAUGUUCAAAAAACAGCUGUUCUUAUUUAUAGUUUCUUAAGUAGUUUCUAUUGUUCCUGUCGUUUGCCAUUUUUAGUUCUUUAUAUAUUCAGUCUACUUGCUUAGUAUCUAUAUAUUAGAUCCGACACUUUAAAGCUAGAUGCUUAGUAUUGUUGAUUCUGUUCAGUGCUAUAUAUAUAUGUGUGUGUCUUCCAGUUCAAUUCAAUUCGGUUUAUUCAUUCAAACCAUAAAAUGGUACAUGAGGUCAGUCAGUAUAUUUAGUUCAAAAGUCAGAUGUAUUCCAGCAUUAUUGUAUCCAUGUAUUUCAAUGAAUUUGUUAUCACGAAUCCGGUGACUAUUAAUUAUGUUGUAACACUUUGUUUAUAUUAACGAGCUUAUCUAAAAGCAAGUCUCUCUUUUCUAGCAUUGUACAUUUUGUUCAUUUUUCACCCGAUUACCCCGUCAGUCUAUCGCUUUCAUUUGUAGUAUCUUCUAAUAAAUAAAUGUUAAACGCUC
rnacentral:sRNA from 1 species